rnacentral:rRNA from 1 species
CCUACGGGAGGCUGCAGUGAGGAAUAUUGGUCAAUGGCCGUAAGGCUGAACCAGCCAAGUCGCGUGAAGGAAGAAGGAUCUAUGGUUUGUAAACUUCUUUUAUAGGGGAAUAAAGGUAUCCACGUGUGGAUAUUUGCAUGUACCCUAUGAAUCAGCAUCGGCUAACUCCGUGCCAGCAGCCGCGGUAAUACGGAGGAUGCGAGCGUUAUCCGGAUUUAUUGGGUUUAAAGGGUGCGUAGGUUGUUUUUUAAGUCAGCGGUGAAAGUUUGUGGCUCAACCAUAAAAUUGCCGUUGAAACUGGAAGACGUGAGUGUGUUUGAGGUAGGCGGAAUGCGUGGUGUAGCGGUGAAAUGCAUAGAUAUCACGCAGAACUCCGAUUGCGAAGGCAGCUUACUAAGCCAUAACUGACGCUGAAGCACGAAAGCGUGGGGAUCAAACAGGAUUAGAUACCCCGGUAGUC